UCAGAUGACAAAAGAAAUUAUUGCAUAGAAGUGACCAGAGGUUUGGUUUGAAAUUUUGGCCUUCAUUUUGGUGUGCUGCUUAAGAGAGGUCUGGUAUGUCAUCAACUGCAAGACUGUGAACUGUACAAAGUAUAAUUUUACAAACUGGACAGCCAACAGUACUGGAGCCAGAUGCUGUUAACCCAUGCUGGAACUGAUCUGGCUGGCACUAGGACCACACAGUCUUGUGCACCAACCCCCGAGAUACUGGGGUUCAGUAACCUGCCAAAAGACUGAAGACUGAAGGAGCCCAGAACUGGAUCACCAACUUUCCAGCUGUUAGACCUCAUGAGC